AACUGUUAGCACGGGCGUAUGAUCAUGACAUUACUGCUCUGUCUUGUGAUUAUUCUUUUUACCCAUGGGAUAUGUUUAUAAUGUAUUGUUACAUGUCGAGGGCCUUUCUUUCUACUCCCAUUAUUAUUUUGUCCUUUGCACACCAUCUGCAAACUACAUUUUUGCAAUACAUAAAGAGAAACAAUGAGAUGUCAUUAGAGGAAUAAUACUGCUCAAUAUUUUCCAGUAAGCUAAAACAUCCAAUGAAAGUAAUUAUCCUUGAAAUAUGAAAACUGGUCAUUUUGUGAUGCAUGUUCAAUUUUAAAAGGCUCUAUCACAUUGUCUCUCUUCAUGUCUAGGCUUUGGGCGCUUAUAAAUUGUUGUGUGCCUGCAGGCUUUUGUGAAAUCAUUUCUUCCUGGUUAGAUGUCAAGAAUACUCAAAAUGUGGUUGGUGGUUUCUGAUUGUUGCCUAUUUUGGCGUCAAUAUAACCUGCAUCCUUAAGAUCAUAUUUUUGUCAUUCAGUUUUUCAAAGCUUGCAUUAGCAAUUGAGGUCGAAUGGAUGGAUCCACUUGAAAAGCUGAUGGAACAAGAGGCUUGAUUUUUUGCCCAAUGGUCAAAUGCGUGUGAAGAGGUUCCAUA